rnacentral:rRNA from 1 species
GACAUACCGAAAGGUAUGCUAAUACGAGAUAAUAUACUUUUAUCGCAUGGUAGAAGUAUCAAAAGCUCCGGCGGUACAGGAUGGACCCGCGUCUGAUUAGCUAGUUGGUAAGGUAACGGCUUACCAAGGCGACGAUCAGUAGCCGACCUGAGAGGGUGAUCGGCCACAUUGGAACUGAGACACGGUCCAAACUCCUACGGGAGGCAGCAGUGGGGAAUAUUGCACAAUGGGCGAAAGCCUGACGCAGCAACGCCGCGUGAGCGAUGAAGGCCUUCGGGUCGUAAAGCUCUGUCCUCAAGGAAGAUAAUGACGGUACUUGAGGAGGAAGCCCCGGCUAACUACGUG